rnacentral:rRNA from 1 species
UAUACCGUGAAACUGCGAAUGGCUCAUUAAAUCAGUUAUCGUUUAUUUGAUAAUACCUUACUACUUGGAUAACCGUGGUAAUUCUAGAGCUAAUACAUGCUGAAAAUCCCGACUUCGGAAGGGAUGUGUUUAUUAGAUAAAAAACCAAUGCCCUUCGGGGCUUUUUGGUGAUUCAUGAUAACUUUACGGAUCGCAUAGCCUUGCGCUGGCGACGGUUCAUUCAAAUUUCUGCCCUAUCAACUUUCGAUGGUAAGGUAUUGGCUUACCAUGGUUUCAACGGGUAACGGGGAAUUAGGGUUCGAUUCCGGAGAGGGAGCCUGAGAAACGGCUACCACAUCCAAGGAAGGCAGCAGGCGCGCAAAUUACCCAAUCCCGACACGGGGAGGUAGUGACAAUAAAUACUGAUACAGGGCUCUUUUGGGUCUUGUAAUUGGAAUGAGUACAAUUUAAACCUCUUAACGAGGAACAAUUGGAGGGCAAGUCUGGUGCCAGCAGCCGCGGUAAUUCCAGCUCCAAUAGCGUAUAUUAAAGUUGUUGCAGUUAAAAAGCUCGUAGUUGAAACUUGGGCCUGGCUGGCGGGUCCGCCUCACCGCGUGCACUCGUCCGGCCGGGCCUUCCUUCUGAAGAACCUCAUGCCCUUCACUGGGCGUGUUGGGGAAUCAGGACUUUUACUUUGAAAAAAUUAGAGUGUUCAAAGCAGGCCUUUGCUCGAAUACGUUAGCAUGGAAUAAUAAAAUAGGGCGUGCGUUUCUAUUUUGUUGGUUUCUAGAGACGCCGCAAUGAUUAACAGGAACAGUCGGGGGCAUCAGUAUUCAGUUGUCAGAGGUGAAAUUCUUGGAUUUACUGAAGACUAACUACUGCGAAAGCAUUUGCCAAGGAUGUUUUCAUUAAUCAGUGAACGAAAGUUAGGGGAUCGAAGACGAUCAGAUACCGUCGUAGUCUUAACCGUAAACUAUGCCGACUAGGGAUCGGGCGAUGUUCUUUUUCUGACUCGCUCGGCACCUUACGAGAAAUCAAAGU